ACUGAAGACACUUAAGCUUAAUGACAGCAGUAUAACAGAAGAAGGCUGUGCUGAUUUGACUUCAGCUCUCAGAUCAAACCCCUCACACCUGAAAGAGCUGAAUCUGAGUGGGAAUCAACUAGGAGACUCAGGAGUGAAGCAGAUAUCUGCUCUACUGAAAAAAUCAAAGUAUAAACUACAGAAACUGCUACUUUCUGACUGUGGUAUAACAGGAGAGGGAUAUUCAACUCUGGCUUCAGCUCUGAAAUCAAACCCCUCACACCUGGUGGAGCUGGACCUGAGAGGGAACGACCCUGGAGAUUCUGGAGUGAAGCACAUCACUGAUUUACAUAAUUUACUUCAUGUUAAAAAACUUCAGAC